GUAAAAUUAAAGUUAAGUGAUCAGUUUGUACAGAAUAUAAAGAACUACCAAAUUUUCUUGGAGAUCAAGGACAGAGAAGUUCAUCUGAUCAGUUUGAGCAAUGUUUACUGUGAGUACAAGAUUGAUGGGGCAUCCCUGAUGGAGUGAAAGAUACCAAACACCAGGCCUGGAUGGCCAGGGAAUAGGCUGCCCACAAGAGGAGGAAGGCACAGGAGGAAGGCCUCUGGUCUGUGUGGGAACAGGAAGAAGAGCAAUCAGGUUGGAAAGGAAGGUCUUAUAGGAGCCGAUUAAGGCAAGUGGUGAAGGACUCAAAGGUAAGAGGGUGAGCUUGGUGGCCUAAUGGGAGUGACCAGAGACCUCUCAUCCUUUUCACCCUGUGAGGAGACAGCAAGAAGGCACUGUCCACAAGCCAGAAGGGGAGAUUGUGCACCAGAGGCUUAAUUUCUUCUAUUAGCCUGGCUGCUGGCAAUAACUUCCUGAAGGACACCUUCCGGACAAACUUCCUCUAAUGUUUAUGUUGCCUCCACCAGCCAGUCUUCUAAGUAAGCCAGAUUCUCCUCUGUGUUGUGCCUCUGCCAUGCCAUCUUAACUUGGAGCCAGAUGACUAUGGACUGAAACUUCUACAAACUGGUAGAACAUAUGCUUUAAAGUUAACCUGUUUUGAAACAUAAACAGAUUUUUCGCUUCACACAUACUGCAACUGGACAAAAAGGCUAUUUUCGAUCACAAGCUCCUAGGACAGAGAAGCUGAGCCAGUUCCAGCACCCAGAAGGAAGCUCCCCCACUGCCAUACCAAGCUCCUAGGGCAGACAAGGCGAGCUGCGUGGGUAUCAGAAGCACCCCCACACCCCCGUGGAAAUGAGAAGACACAUAAACAAGCCUCAAAAACAGACUUCCAGAUCACCUACAGCAACCCCAAAGGGAAAUGAGAUGGAACACUCUGAUACUCAACCACCUGGACUCUCUGAACUGGCAACAAAAGAGGAUCUGGGAAAAAUGAAAUCAGAAAUAAUUACUCAGGUAACAGCAAAGAUUUUGCUCAUGGUGCAAGGGAUGAUUAAUAAAUCUAGAGAGGACACAGAUAAAAAAAUAGAGGAUCUGAGGAACAUGAUGGAAUCCCAACAUAGGAAACAAAUGGAAUCCAUAAAACAGAUACAAACAGAUUUCCAAGAGAUUGAAAACUCCAUCGAAAGUCUGUGCAGCAGAAUGAACCAAUGUGAGGAUAGAAUUUCACAUAUAGAAGAUAAGAUUGCAAUUAGUUAGGAGGAAAAGAAAAAUUGCUUUAAAAUUAUAAGGGAACAUGAGAAAUCAAUCCAGCAGCUGCUAGACGAUACAAAGAGGAAUAAUAUAAGACUGAUUGGAGUCAAUGAAGAAAGAGGAGAGAGUGCAGAUGACAUAAAAAAAACUGUUCACAGAAGUGAUGGCAGAAAACUUCCCAACCAGGAGAAAAGAACUUGACAUACAGAUAAGUGAGGCAUAUAGGACUCCAAAUAGCCUUGAUCAAAAAAAAAUCUACACAUAGGCAUAUAAUAGUUAGGAUUCCAGAAAUCCAACAGAAGAACAAAAUUCUACAAGCAGUGAGAGAAAAGAAACAAAUCACAUACAAAGGAAAGCCCAUCAGAAUCACAGCAGACUUCUCAAUGCAAACCCUCAAGGCAAGAAGAGCUUGGAGUGAUGUAUUUGAAGCCCUAAAGGAAAACAGCCUCCAACCCAGAUUGAUGUACCCUGCAAAACUAUCUUCCAAAAUUGAUGAAGAAAUAAGAUACUUUCAUGAUAAAGAGCACCUCAGGAACUUCAUGAAUACCAACCUGGCACCCCAAAAAAUUUUAGACAAUACCUUAGGAAAAGACAAUGAGGAUCACAACCCCAGGAAACCCAGCAGAAUGAAUCUAUUGGGC
rnacentral:lncRNA from 1 species